GGACUGACGUAGGAGAUGAUAAAGCACAAACUAAGACUCUGCGGCCUUCCUUUGAACCCUCACGUCGCCAAGGCAACCAGGCAAGGUUAUUCCCCUCCUCUCUAGCAUGCCUGCCUACCUGUGUGCAAUAGAGCAGAGUGCAUGUGGGCUGCGGUGAAUAAGGUACGAGAUGUUAUCUAAUCGCCGCAUGGAAAGAGCGCAGCGGGAAGCCAGACUGUCUCCUGAACACCAGCUGCCCAUUAUUCUGUCCCCUCGUCAGCGGCCUUUAUUGUCCAUGUAGAGCACCUUUUAUCUUGCUGUUAUCCAUUAAACAUAUCUAGACACUAGUAGGUCCAUGCUGGUGUGUGUCAUUACAAAGAGAGGAAAUAAGGAAGUUAUGGACCGCCGUUUGCUGACAUGAAAUGAUUCACGCCAUAAUUUGAAGAUGAGCCCUGGAAGCCACGGGCACCACUAAAUCGCCAGCAGGCCGUCCCUCUCCGUGGGAUCGGCUUACACACGCCCCACCACACAAACCUCCCCAAUUCAAGCAUCGCGGCCUCCAUCUUGACCACAAUAACAAACAGGGAAACCAGGCAAUGGAUCGCACGAGGGACAACAUCCGUGGCAUAAAAAAAUGAAAGGCACGAACAGAACACACAGCAUCUGUGACAGUGUUGGUGAUGGUUGGGGGGGGGUAGCUCAGUGUUACUGCUGCCAAAUGGAAUAACCAGGAAAAGUUGAAAAUAAAACUAAUUGUAAUCACCCAAUUACUCAUUUACCAAUGAGAAAAUGCCUAAAAAGAACAGUGAGAUAUUGAUCCAUUCAGAAUAAAUGGCAUGUAAACAUGCCAUGCAUGCAAAUGUGUUGAUAAAUAUUGGUAUUUAUUUUUCUUUUGUGUUUUUUCUCUUUUGCUUCAUGUUUAAGGCCUGAGUGGCAGGUAAGAUUGUUGUCUUUGCAAUAAGAUGCUAACUGGAUAUUUUGACGUGAAAAAAGUAAAAUAAUGAAUAAUUGAAAUGAACCGAUUCAUAAAAUUAUUUGUUAUAAAAGUAGUUUGAAUAUUUUGGAAAUCAUUUUAAAUUCUGCACAUUUUUAGCACUGGCACAAGAUUAAAUUUGUCAGUUUUCCUUUCCAAUGGAUUCAUAUUUGCUUGUUUUGUCAGGAGGCUGUAAUGCAUUGAUGUCAAGUGCUGCACACUGCGGCUGUAUGAGAAUUAGUUUAUUAUGGUGAUAUAUGAUUCUUGUUAUUGCCUACUGUUUCCACAACAAACUACAGUGGCAAUGUCACUAUGUGAGAUCAUGGAAGGUGACGUGCAUCACUGUUUGAUUUAGACGCGGA